AAUUCAGAUUCAACCUCCUCCUUUCUUCUCUCAGAUGCGGGAACUUUCCCUCCAAAUCAAACAACCAUUAACGAACUCGCUAACCCAACAGCCAUGGCCACGCUUCACCAAACCUCAACAACAUUUCCAUUCAAAUCCGCUCUUUUCAUAUCUUUCAUCUCCAUCUCUCUCUUCCAUUUUCUCACUCCCUCCCAGAAAACCCUAACCCUGUCCCACCACAACGCCACCCCAAAUAAUACCAAGAGCACCACCAAAUACAUAGUCCGUUUCACGGAGUACAGAAAGGCGGAA
rnacentral:misc_RNA from 1 species